GAUGAAGAACGCAGCGAAAUGCGAUAAGUAAUGUGAAUUGCAGAAUUCAGUGAAUCAUCGAAUCUUUGAACGCACAUUGCGCCCGCCAGUAUUCUGGCGGGCAUGCCUGUCUGAGCGUCAUUUCAACCCUCAUGCCCCUAGGGCGUGGUGUUGGGGAUCGGCCAAAGCCCGCGAGGGACGGCCGGCCCCUAAAUCUAGUGGCGGACCCGUCGUGGCCUCCUCUGCGAAGUAGUGAUAUUCCGCAUCGGAGAGCGAUGAGCCCCUGCCGUUAAACCCCCAACUUUCCAAGGUUGACCUCAGAUCAGGUAGGAAUACCCGAUGAACUUAAGCAUAUCAAUAAGCGGAGGA
rnacentral:misc_RNA from 1 species